rnacentral:rRNA from 1 species
GACGAACGCUGGCGGCGUGCUUAACACAUGCAAGUCGAACGGAAAGGCCCUGCUUUUGUGGGGUGCUCGAGUGGCGAACGGGUGAGUAACACGUGAGUAACCUGCCCUUGACUUUGGGAUAACUUCAGGAAACUGGGGCUAAUACAGGAUAGGAGCUCCUGCUGCAUGGGGGGGGUUGGAAAGUUUCGGCGGUUGGGGAUGGACUCGCGGCUUAUCAGCUUGUUGGUGGGGUAGUGGCUUACCAAGGCUUUGACGGGUAGCCGGCCUGAGAGGGUGACCGGCCACAUUGGGACUGAGAUACGGCCCAGACUCCUACGGGAGGCAGCAGUGGGGAAUAUUGCACAAUGGGCGGAAGCCUGAUGCAGCAACGCCGCGUGCGGGAUGACGGCCUUCGGGUUGUAAACCGCUUUCGCCUGUGACGAAGCGUGAGUGACGGUAAUGGGUAAAGAAGCACCGGCUAACUACGUG